CUGCCAACCGCACGGGAGCAAAACACAGAAAAUCUUUCACUCGCCUUCGAAGGAGGAUCGUCGCGCAACAUUUCGCGAUAAGCAGUUUUCGUCCGCUUUAUCGGAAAAAUCGUCCCGUUUCGCGUUCCGGACAGAUCCUCAACCCGUUCGACCGCCGUGUGAUGCGCUAAACGAAGAAAAGCCACCGUCUCGUGAGUGCGUGCGUGAGAAUAGUGAAGUGCUCUAACACUACUCCUCCGGUACGGUUCGGGGUUGUUCCGUUGUUCUGCUUGUCAGUCAGUGUAUUUGAACUCGUCAUCAUCAUCAGUUUUUUUUUCUGCCAGCGUAGUGCCCAAUUUCUUACCCUCGUCUUCUCCGCGGAACUCAGAAGUAACAGCAAACCGCACAAGAAGAAAUGUCUUUCGCCGAGAGAUUAGCCGGGCUGAUGGCCCGCCCCGGCCAGGAUAACGUUCCCCGCGAUGACGUACCGUGGCACCUAAAGUACGGUGGACGCGCCGUUGGAAUUGUGGGAGGAUUCUUCGCCAUCCUAUUCGGUUUGUACAACUGCAUCGGGAUCCUGCUGGGGGACGUUGGCUGCCUGGUCGGUGGCAUUCUAGAAAUUCUGGCCGGUUUUGUGGUGUUAGCGAUAGAGGCGCCUUGCUGUUUCAUCUUCAUCGACCACGUGCAGCAGAUUGCGGAAAAGGCGGACCAACGGCCCUACUGGAACCGAGCCGCCCUGUACUGCAUCAUCGCGCUUCCACCAGUAAUUCUCUGCCUAGGCUUGGGUAGCUUAUUCGGUUGCGGGCUCAUUUUCGUCACCGGAAUGAUUUACGGCAUGAUGUCGCUCGGCAAAAAGGGAACUCGCGAGGACAUGGCAGCGAUGGCUUCGCCGAACGCGAUGUCCCCGGUACAGGGCGUACCUUCAACGGAUCAGCACUCGACCCUGAUGGAGGAUCCCGACGUAUGGCGUCCAACAUAAAUCAGUCGCUAGACUAACUUUCCCAAAAACAGCAACCAACAUCCAAAGCAUACUACUAAUCAUGAUUAGAAGCAUCGCGUUGCGUUAUUGCUCGAAUUUUUGAAACUCACCCUCUAAAAUCAGGAAGAACACUCACCAACCAUCACUAACACAUUACAUACAUUUAAACGGACGUAUUCCUCUCUCAGCGAAACAAUCUUAGAAAGGCAUACAGCAAUAUCCCACUGACCCACGAACAAUCAUCUCAAGAACAAACCCUGCGCUGAGACAAACAAUUGACGACAAGGAGAGGGAAACUUUGUAAAAGACACUCACACACACAUGCAUACCAACAAACAAAUGCAAGAAGCAGCUCACGCAUACAUUUCAUAACUUGUUAAGCCGAUAAUGUUAAACGAUGUGAAAAGUGACAAACACACACUCACAAAUACAGUUAAGCAUUUCCAAAGCAAACAGUAAUUGUAAUUGUAAACCCCUAGCCAUAUAAAGUUAGAAAUAAAUUGAGACGAAAGUACGUACGAUUGUAAUAAGCAGCAGCAGCAGCAAUGUAGUUGUUUGCGGUCUGAACUUACAUUCGACCGCUAAACGGAAAUAUAUGGAACAUAAGAACAAUAGUUUGACGCGUAUGAAAGUAAAAUCUAGAGAAUAUCUCGUUAGGUAUUUGAAAAUGUCCUUCAGGUAAAGAAAAAGACUCACGCACACUUAUCACACUAUGACUCACACUCACACAAACCUAACAUUAGCGACACUCACACACGAAAACAAACUAUAUUGGAACACGACACAAGAACGGAAUAUAAAUUAGCGGACUCUCAAUCCAAUGGGCGUAUUGCGCGACGAUAUCAUAAUUAGGACAAGUUUUACUCUCAAACUGCCUGUUAGGAAUAACACAUAGCGUCGUUUGCGGAAAUGCGGGCGGCGGCAGCAGCAUCAACGGCGGCCUCGUCCGCUGAGCAGGGUCGAGCCGGCGGCGCCAACGGUGCCACAUCCGGGUCCAACCUGGGAGGAUCCAUGCCGAACAGCAAGCAAAGCUCGACCCUGGUCAACAAUGUGCAACCGAUCGCCUACAGUAUGCCACCACCGUACGAUAGUGUAGCCUAAUUAAUCAACAGUUCGUUGUGUAAUACUAUAAGGGUAGAAGACGUGCAAAGAUAGCGAAGGACGAGCGUAAAGACUUUAUAUAGGAAGAUGUUGUUAUCCCUUAAGACGUCGCUACUCAUUCCCCCGAUCCUUCCCUAACUUCCUGCUAGUUAUACUAGUAUAACUACUACAAUUGUACUCUAGGAUUGGUGAGCAACAACGUUCUGAUUCUGAUCGAGAUGCUGCUUGCGCCAAAAGCAGUCAAGUCCUCCCCUAAGCUAAGGAACCCGAUUAUUUCACAUAUGAAACUUUUCUGUUAGUUUAGCUAUUACCUAUGUGCAUUUUUGCUGUUUAGUGGGCGAUUCAAAGUAUGUGAACUAAAGAUAAACUUAUUAUUAUUAUUAUUGAUUAUAUCACCUAUGGAUACUGAUUAUGAAACAAAAAAGUUUAAUCCCAUUAACUAGCGAAACUUACUGAACUAGCUUAAUUGAUUACGAUUACAUGAAGAAAUACACUAUAUUUAUUAGUGAAGUUGAACUACCCAACUGAGAUAUGUGCUGUAAAUUUUUCUCUUGCGUUAGGUGUAAAUUUGUUGCUCGUAAGUGAUUCGUCAUCAGGAAACAAUGAGAAUGAUUAGACAGACAAGCACUCUGUGAGAAGAAGAAAAAAGAACUACACAUCAAAUUUAGUUAGCCUAAACUCUAUUUAUUGCAAACUUAAUUUACUGAACUGAAAACUAACCGGGACGAAGGAUAACGAAUGAUUUCUGAUUGCUGAGAUCAGCUGGCGGGAUUUAGUCUAAUUCUAACACUUGAGCGCCAGUGGAGAUGAAUAGUGAGAUGUACGUUCUGGACGAAAUGUACAGCAAAUAGCAGAAAGGAAUGGUGUAAUAGGUUAACAACAGUGUGGAGAAAAUAGACAGAGAAGAAAUGCGAAAACGAAAUGCUUGUAAUAGUCUAUCGAGUUAAAUUACACUAAAGUUAAGACUGGCAGUGAAUAAACUUUCCAUUAAAUAUGUGACAAAAUUGAAA